AGACCCGGAUGAGUCCUAGUCCCCGCCACACACAGGUCGUGGGUUCUCCUUUGAGAGUGACCACUGGUUCCUAGAGCUUUUCCUAAACUGGAGACGGAUCCUGCCCUGGGGGUCUCAGUCACCGCGAGGACUCGAGGAUAGCAAAACUAAGUGUCAAAAGCACCUUCUGCACACAGUCUGCACACACUGGCCGGUGGUCCUGUUCCCGCAAGGUUGAGCUGUGUUCCAGAGACAUGGGUCCUCCGGGUGAUGAGGAGCCGCUGGAGGGCCCUGAGCUGCACGUGCUAAUGAUUAACGCCCCGUCCGUGCUGGCCGGUUUCUCAAAUGCCUCCUGACGAUUGCGCACAGCCGGACAUCAUUUGUACUGAGAGACAAAAGGAAAUCACUGAGGCUUUCUGAGGUGAGCUGGGCGGCCGCGGGGGGACUGGACUCACACCUGCUAACGGCCAGUCCACAGGACCUGCCCAGAGGCUCGGACACACAGCUGAAGUCACAUCCCACGGGGAGCAUCCUCACCAACUGACAAUCAGCACGGGUUUGUAAUUAAGGGUUUCUGCCCAGCCAAUGAACGGCCUCCAGAAACAACCUUUGUGGAACCCCCUAUAAAAGCCUUCCCAGCGCUUGCCUUCAGGACACUGCUCAGGGCUGACUCAGUGUACCCAAGCUGCAGUCUUUGUUUCCCAAAUAAGCAGUCAUUCAUUCUACCUCCGUGUCAAUCUUUUCUUCGUGAACACAGCUGGUGUCAGGAGCAGGGCUUAGCAAGAUCUCUCCUUUGAGCGGCUUUCUCUGGAAUCGGGUGAAGUCCCCACAACACAGAGGCCCCUGUGCGCGCCCCUUCUUUGGGGCCAGCACCUCCCUUCAACUGAGGCUGAUACCUUUAUUUGGGAAUCUGGGGGCAGUUGCUGCCUCUGUGCCGGCAAAGGCUUUCAGCUUGGAGGACGUUUUCCCUGCUUACUGGAGAUUUUCCCAAUGGUGAGUAUUAUUAUCUUAAGUAUGGGACUCUGUGCGUCUAAACCUCGUAACAGUUGUGCCCCCUCUGGACUCCAGCCCCGUUUAUCUGGAGCAAUGGACCUUUUUACAUUGGCCAAACUGGGGUUCCUUUGCUACACCAACCUAGGUUUUCUCUGAACUAAAUUAGAAGAACUUGGUUCCAAAACAAGGGUCUUAGCAUGUGGGAAGCCACAGAGCCCUAGGAAGGGGGCGUGCUCAUGGAAAGAUACUGAGCGCGAGGAGCGUUGGGUGCAGCUCCUCCAGAAGCGAGAGAACGGCCCGUGGCUAUGUAUUAAAAUAUACACGUCCAGAUGGGGUGCUUGUUUUAAUUGGCAUUUGGAGGCAUCUGGCUGGAUGCCAUCAGAACUCUAACAUUGCCUCUCUCCAAAACACAGCGCCUGAACUCACAGAGGCUGAUAAAGCACUGAAAGGUGGAGUCCUGGGCCCAGGGCUCCUCCUGCCCCUCGUUCGGGUUGUUCGUGAGUUUGGUGUGCUUUGGAAACAGACUUUUUAACCUCCAGAGGGAACCAAAUUAAAAAUGACACUUUUGUCAAUAGUUUAUUAAAUUCAAUUUGGCUUCCCUCUGGCCAUAAUCAAAAUUUCUGGGUAUUCAAAAUUGGAGUCAGAUGAGGCUAAAGAAAAACUUGGUUGAUUCCACAGCAAAAGCCGCUGCCUUGAGUUUCACUGAGACCAAAAACCUUACAGCUAAGAUAAUUUUCCCAAAAAGGAUGUAAAUGAUGUUAUUAAAGACACUCUGUCCCCAGCACCCCAUGAGCCAGUGUUACCAGAAUCUAUGAACACGUCAGACGACUCAUUGGGCAACUAAUGAACUUACACGUUUACAAAACAGUAUUGGUGGGGAAAUAUUUCAAGGGCGGCCGAAGAGGCACAACUGCCUUGUGCUGUUUGUCCAAAAUUCAACCCAGCAAAGACAAUUCGGAGAGUCCCAGGUCAUUCUGACCUGCCAAGUGGACCCUCUGAGGUUUGGCAAAUGGACUUCAUCCAGCCACUGCCUCUCAAGACUGUAAGUAUGUCGUGAUGAUUUGCAUGUUCUUCUCCUGGGUAGAAGCAUUCCCUUCCUGAUGUGCCGCUGCCUCAGAUGCUGCAAACUCUACAAGAACAGAUUCUCCCUAAGUGACAAGGGCAUAUCUUCACAGGUAGUGACAAGGAGCUCCACUGGCCAGGUCAUAAAACAAAUCUGUGAAGUCUGGUCCACAUGACAGCACUGUCAUUGUGCCUACCAUCCCCAAUCUUGCAGACUGGUGGAAAGCACAGAUGGCAUCAACUGGCAGAAUUUCAGGAAGCACUAAAAUUGCCCCGGCCAAAGGCACUUCCUCUGGUCCUUCUGAAUCUAAGGUCUGCACCUUUUGGAAACUGCAAGUUGUCACCUUUUGAAAUGAUCACUGGAGGGCCAAUGCAUAGAGUCCCUUCUGCUUUUAAUAGUCCACUGAUGAAAGGAGACAUGCUCCAGUAUUGUAAAGGAAUAAUGAAGGCUGUCCACGCAAGUCAUACCCUGGUCAGACAAUCUUUACACAGUGUGUUCCCAGUUGAUAAAGGCACCAGACAUCACAACCUUCAGCCUGAUCAUUUUCUCUAUUGGAAAAGACAUUUACAAAAAGAUUUCCUUCAACCUCAGUGAAGAGUCCACAUCAGGUACUCCUUACCCAUCCCUGUGCUGCCAAACUAAAAGGUGUUGACCCUUGGAUUGAGGUUUCUCAUUUAAAGAAACCUCUACCCCUGCUGGAAUUCGGACAAUCACCUGAAAUGAAAACUGACCCAAAAGUGAAGCAGAUGACAGUUGAGCUUGACUGAGGUCACGUCCCCAACGAGGGACAUGACUCCCUGGGACAAGUCCCUCCCAGCAACAAGGGACAUCAUCACAUUCACCAACUGAUCUGUGACACUUUCUGGAGGAAGAACUUGGUCAAAAGGGGGAAAUGUGAAAGAAAAUGAAGUCACUAAUGCUGAGGCUAAGUGGAACUGGGCGGCUGCGGGAGGCCUGCAUUCACACGGCUGACGGCCAGUCCACAGGACGCGCCCGUAGACUUGGACCAACAGCUGAAGUCAGCCCCUGACGGCCUUCACAUCUCCCAGCUGGGAGUGCCCUUAAGAACUAACCCAUCAGAAUGGGUUUCAUUUAGGAUUUCUGCCCAGCCAAUGAACUACCUCCAAAACCCCUUUGUGGAAAUCCCCUAAACAAAUCUCUCCAGGCCGGGCGAGGUGGCUCACACCUAUAUUCCCAGCACUUUGGGAGGCUGAGGUGGGAGGAUCACCUGAGGUCAGAAGUUCGAGACCAGCCUGGCCAACAUGGUGAAACCUCAUCUCUACUAAAAAUACAAAAAUUAGUCAGGGGUGGUGGUGCACACCUGUAGUCCCAGCUACUCAGGAGGCUGAGGCAGGAGAAUCGCUUGAACCCAGGAGAUGGAGGUUGCAGUGAGCUGAGAUCACGCCACUGCACUCCAGCCUGGGCAACAGAGUGAGACUCCGUCUCAAAGAGAAAAACCAAAACUCUCGUGUUUGCUUUCUAGGACACUACUCAGGGCCACCGUGACUCAGCUUACCCAAAUUACAAUCCUUUGUUUCCCAAAUAAAUGCUUAAUACUAUUAAAAGUGAACAAUGAAAAAGCAGAUUCAAAACCUAUUCAAAUGGUUCUAACUCAAUGUGUUAGUACAGUCACAGCUGCUUACUGAAAACACACACUUGGUCUACUUCAGGAAGACGUGUGGAGAAAGGGUGAAGGGUGAGCCACUGGGCCCAGCUCACCACACGACGGCCCCCUGUGCUUGUGUGCGCCCCAACUCACAGUGACAACACUCCGGCCAUGCCUCUGCGUGUUGGCUUGGUGUCAUCUGCAUUGCACUGGAGUGAAACAGGGUCAGGCUGCCACCAUUCACACAAACUUUAAAAAUGAAACCUUUAUCAAGGGAACAUCUUUGGACUGUUUUUAAAACCUUUGGAACCAUGACUUGGAGCUGGCAGAACAGGCUGUGGCUGUGGACUUCAGCACUACCAACAGUGCUGAAAACACUAUGAUUUACAUCCAUUCCAAGUUGCAAGUCCAUCUUUUCUUCCUGCAACAAAAGACCAUUAGCUUAAAAAAGGGAGCGGGUUCCAUCAUCCUUGCAGCAGCUAAGACAACCCCUUGGGGUCCACCUGGGCUCCCAGCCCCACCUUCCUGAUGUUCAGACCCAGCAACUCCUUCCAGGGAUACCGCAGGCACUCAGGUCCUCUUGUUAAAUUAAAUUUGGCCUAAAGCUGCCUCCAUUCUUUGCAUUUCUGCCUAGUGAAUUGCAACCUAACGAAGCAUGUAAACAAACUCAACCUAAUAAGUCUAUUUUGUAACAAGUAGCUGAGUCUGUCAUAAGCUGCCAGUGGGUCAGACCACACCCACAGGUGGCAGACGCCCAGCCGUAGCCAAUCAGGCUGUUUCCGUGUCUCACUUCCGUGUUCUGUCUGUAAGUGCUGCCUGCCCGUGCUGCUGAGUGGAGCUCGCUGAACCUCUCCCGGUUCUGAGUGCAAUUCAUGAACUGUUCUUUGUUCAAAUAAACUCUAAAGUUUUUCUUUUUUUGAGACAGAGGAGUCUCACUCUGUUGCCCAGACGAGUGCAGUGGCACAAUCUCAGCUCAUGGCAACCUCCGCCUCCCGGAUUCAAGUGAUUCUCCUGCCCCAGCCUCCCAAGUAGCUGGGAUUACACACAUGCACCACCACGCCCACUAGGCUAAUUUUUUUUUUAUUUAUUUUUUCUUUUUAGUAGAGACGGGAUUUCACGUUGGCUGGGCUGGUCUCGAACUCCUGACCUAAAGCAAUCCAACCGCCUUGACCUCCCAAAGUGCUGGGAUUACAGGUGUGAGCCACCACGUCCAGCAUAAAGUUUUUCAACACUCUUGACCAUUGCGUCUCACCCGGACCACGCAACAGCCUCCUCACCAGCCUCCGGCUUCCAGGCUAUUCCCUGCACAGUGGCCACAUCACACCCUACGCUGCUCAGACCCUGCAGCGGCCCUCCUACGCACAGAUCCUCCUGAUGCAUCAGUGGCCCAGCUGCUCCAUCUGGGACACCAGCUUCUCUCCGCCUUGGCCGUAUGAGCCCUGGGGGCCUCUGUAUUCAUUGUUCCCGGCCAUUGCGAGUUAUAGCCCCCCCAGCCUUCCUGAGCCCCUCCCAACCUCCCACCACCUCCAGGCUUUCUCCACGCGAGUUCUGCAGCAUUUACCAGCACCUACCACACAAUCUUCUCACUGGCUGGUCUUUUCCCACCACAAUUAAACUCCCAAAGGCCAUACUGCCAUCUCCUAUGUGCCUAAAAACCUGGCAGUUUUACACCUGAGGGAUUCUUUCCCCAAAGAGGCCUCCCAGCAGUCUAAUGAACAGAGGAGGGCUGGCUGCUGUUGAUGACGAGGACUUACAGGGCCCCUUGAGCACACCCAGGCCACACUGGGGGCCCAGGGGCUCUGGCAGAAGUGGUGUCCUGAUGUAGAUGCCACAGCACUCGCAGGCCAGCAGGAGCGGCCCCUACCCUGUUCCUCCAUGCCUGGUCACCAUCCGCUUUCUGGGAGAUCCGAAAAGGUUCUUCCACCUUCCGCUGUGUGGCAGGAAAUGAGUCUAAUGAGUCUACACUCCACAGCUACCAACUUCCAUAAAGCAGUUUAUUUUUCUUAAAAAGGAAGGUACAUGGUCACAGUCCAAAAUGUUUUAUACAGCUCUCAGCCUGGAAAAUGCAACUGAUGAAAAAGGCACUGUUUCUAGAACAAAUGGAAAAAGAAUAAAUAUGUCAUCAUUUACCCUGCACAGCUUUGAGUAACACCAUAGGACCCUGUCACACGUUCAGGGUCAAUUUUAAAAGCUUGAGAAGACACAGCAAGGUGAUGUCCUAGACUAGCCAGGCUCCGAAAGGAAGAGCUGUCUGUCCCUCCUAACUGUCCUCUCUCUGUCACAGGUGUCCAUGUCACUGUUCCUCUAGCAGAUGUGGAAAGUGGCUGCUCAGUGAGGACUCAGCCCCCACCAACCUGACUGAGGGUCACACGACACCAUGGUGGAAAGUCACAAAGGGUAACGGGCCAAGAGGGUGAGGGGGGCUCCCUGACCCUGAGGACCCCUGAGGCACUGCUGCACCUUCCACGGAUUCUGUGUCUAGCGUUGCCCUCUUUGCAGAUGCCCCUCGUGGUGGUGGCACAAAGACCUAAAAAUGAUUUCUGUAAAAUGGGUACAAGGAGCUCCCUGAUAAAGCAGCUCAUCCUAGACAGCCUUUUGGAGUUAGCGUAACUGUCCUUCCUCAUUUCUAGUUCUCAAUAGCGAAUGGCAGACCUGGAGGCCCCAUGUGCACCUGCCAGCCGGGGCGAGGGCAGGGACGGCCAGCCGGGCGAGGGCGGGGCAGUCGGGGUGAGGGUGGGGCGGGGCAGUCGGGGCGAGGGAGGGGUGGCCAGUGGGGGCGAGGGUGGGUGGCCAGCCGGGCCUGGUGUGAGGAGCAGAGCUGCAAGUUUCCUACAGACAAUCCACUGAGUGCCCCAGAGACGUCACUGAAAAACUUCCCAGUGCUCUGACGUGCCAGCAGUAGGGCCUGAACUGUCAUCCCUCCACGGGGCUCCCUGAGGCCUCAGGCCCUUUCCUUUGCAGCACCAGGUCUGCCUUGCACGCAUCCCAGGAGGAAACACACAGGCAGCCUCCUGCUGCGCGGAGGGCAACGGAGAGAUUCAUGAGGCCCCUGGUCGCUCUGCAGACAUUUAAAAUGACGCUUCUCCUUGCACCAGCUCCCAGGGAAAUGUCAGCCCGGGUCCACCUGACGGAGGGCAGCUCACCCGCCUGCAUCUAUCCUCAAUGCACUUAAAAUAUGAAGACAUGAAAGGUGGCUGGAAAGGCCAGAGCGGGAGCCUGACAAACACUCCUGCUUCUGGGUCACCACGCGGGCACUGCUGGCAACCGAGCUGUGGGUUCACAGACGCUGCCUGAAAACAACCGCCACCCCCGAGAGCAGCGGAGCCUCUUCAUCAGCCAUGGCGGCUGGCAACGCCGAGGACGGAGCCCAGCUCUAGAGGCGUGGGGCCUCUUCUGGGCCUGGGACCCUGCGAGGGACGGUCCUGUCCGCCCAGCUCCCGGCUGGCAGUAGACGGUGACUCCACGGCGACAGAACCUGCAUCCACCCGCGCCUGUCGGGUCCGGGGAGCGGCCCUGGAGGAUCCUCCUCAGUAGGUGAUCUUCCAGUGGGUGGGUUGCUCACACGCCUUCUCUUGGUCUCCGCAGAACCUGUUGUACGUCGUCUUGGGGUCCAACCCCAGGAUUUCUCUUUCCUCAUGAAUCCGAAAAGAAAAUGUUGAGACUGAGGUGCCAAUAAAAAACCUGCAAAGGAUCACAGAGGUUCCAGAGUCAGGGAGAACUGGCGUCACAGAGGUUCCAGAGUCAGGGAGAACUGAGAGGAGCAGCUGAGUGAAAUGAGUUCCACAGUUACAUGGAACCAACACGGCCGUCCCCCGAGCACCCACCAGCCGGCCGCCCCCUUGCUGGCACCCCUCGCUCAGGUGCCCUCGACAUCGGCGCCCUGAGGGGCUCUGCCUGGUGCUGCAGCCCCAUCCACACCCCACAGUCAGCAGCCGCCACGCUCCUGUCCCACCGCAUGUCCCCCUGGGAGCCCUCCUCUCCGUCACCAAAUCCCAGGCCAGGCACGCCAGUGCAGGUCGAAUACCUCCUGGGGGUCACAUGGUGAACAAUGAGAGAUUCCUACUAACCACACACUGUCUAGCCAGGGCAUGGCGGGUCCUUAUCCUGAGGCACAGUAGACAUCACGGAGGUCAAGGCCCCCUCCACACACACGCUGUAUGGGCUGGUGGGGACACCCUUCUCCAGGGGUUUCUCCAGACCUCAGGUCAGCGGCCUGCCCGUUCCUCCGGCUCCUGCGCAGCUGGUCUCUGGCUCUCCAGCGGCACUUCAUGAACUUCGUGAACAAGCAAACCCCAGAGAUGUUUCCAGAGCAAAUGUAACAUGCACAGCGCUGUACACAGAGCCACAGGGCCAGCAGGCCACACAGGCCUGUAUGCUGCUGCGGGGUGCAGCACUGGUGGGGAGACCCUCACCACCCCACACACAGGGGCCUGCCAGAGCAGGCCGCGCCGGCCCGGAGGCAGGGCAGCUUCAGUGAGCUGGGCCGAGCGCUUCGCGCAGCUGAGGGCAGGAGGCUGAGAGCUCAGUGCGAAGCCUCCCCACAGCAGGCUUCCUGGGCUGCGGAGACAGCACCGCCAAGGUCGCAGUCAAAAUCCCAAGGCCACACCUGAGAAGCAGGGGUGAGUUCGUAACUGGGCUCCUGCACACCUCCGCCCUGACCUAAGAAGUCAGCGCUGCAUCCUGUCUGCUUAACAGGGAAAGGGACCCACACCCAGCAGACAGCAUCACCCGGAGCCUCUGUGGGUCUUACACACCAUGCCCAGAACACCACAGGAAAUAGCAGAUGUGUGAAGAGGCACCGGCUCAGGGCGCUCAGCAUUCCUCGGGCAGGAGAGAGACAGACUAACCCACAGAGACGCACGCGUGUGCACAGUGCUAACCACGGGGAAGAUCAUUCCCUCUACUUUCAUUUUCCAUUUAACUCAAACCGUUUCACCCUAACCCCAGCCUUCAUCUCCUAUGCAGAUGGGCAGGCAGGUCUUUGGAGGAACAGAGGCCCAGGCGUACCUCCCACAGCAACCCCAGAGGAAUGACUGCACGCAGGGCCCACGCUCCCGGCCUCUGGGACGCUCACGGCAGCCCCACGAGAAUGAUCACACGAGGGCCCACGCUCCCGGCCUCGGGGACGCUCACGGCAGCCCCACAAGAACGAUCACACGAGGGCCCAUGCUCCCAGCCUUGGGGACGCUCAUGGCAGCCCCACGAGAAUGAUCACACGAGGGCCCACGCUCCCGGCCUCGGGGACGCUCACGGAUGCUCAACAACACAGCAACAAGGACAUGCCCAAGUCCAGGGCACGGGCAACUCUCAGGGCAGGGGGCAGACAGGGGCAGAAACCGGGAAUGAUGGGAAAAUGCGACACAAGAAGAGGUUCUGAGACGAGGCCAGCUAUGCCAACAGCCUGCUAUGGAGGAAUUCUGUGCAUGAGAACUAAAGGGGCAAGAUGAACAAUUAACUUCAGCCCAGGGAAACACUGAACCAGAUGCUACAGGAGACUCAGACGAGGAGGCAAACAGUAUGGAAAUGACCACUGUGAACACAGGCGACCAUCUGCUCUGACACCGAGUACUUGGGACAGAAGAACCUUUGAAAGCCACCCGACCCGCUCUCGGCCGACAGUGACGUGGGCAGGCACCUGGCGUGUGCGCAGAUCCACUGGUCAAUAAUCGCAACGCCUCCGUCCUUGUAGAGCUCCAGCUCCUCCCACGUGGGUUCAAACCUCACCAUCUCGGGUAACAGCUUUUUUAGCUCUUCAUAUUCUGCAAAGUAGAAGGAGAGACCCUUUGAACCGGGAUCCUCCAGUAAGGACAGAUACGUGACUCUUUAGCAGACAGACAUGCGUACUUGGCUUCUGGUUAAUUCGUUAGGAACUGGCUCCAAAGGUGCAGACACACAACUCAGCUUUACCCUCCCAGGAAUUACAGUUGAAGAUCAUGCAGAUCUUCAUGGAUCUGGGUAGUUCCAGGUCUACCCAGAACAGAACCAGGGAUCAAGAAGAAAGGAAAGAAACGUGCUCCCUCUCCCUCUCCUUCUCCCUCUCCCUCUCCCCACGGUCUCCCUCUCUUUCCACGGUCUCCCUCUCAUGCGGAGCCAAAGCUGGACUGUGCUGCUGCCAUCUCGGCUCACUGCAACCUCCCUGCCUGGUUCUCCUGCCUCAGCCUGCCGAGUGCCUGCGAUUGCAGGCACGCGCCACCACGCCUGACUGGUUUUGGUGGAGACGGGGUUUCGCUGUGUUGGCCGGGCCGGUCUCCAGCCCCUAACCGCGAGUGAUCCGCCAGCCUCGGCCUCCCGAGGUGCUGGGAUUGCAGACGGAGUCUCGUUCACUCAGUGCUCGAUGGUGCCCAGGCUGGAGUGCAGUGGCGUGAUCUCGGCUCGCUACAACCUACACCUCCCAGCCGCCUGCCUUGGCCUCCCAAAGUGCCAAGAUUGCAGCCUCUGCCCGGCCGCCACCCCAUCUGGGAAGUGAGGAGUGUCUCUGCCUGGCCGCCCAUCGUCUGGGAUGUGAGGAGCCCCUCUGCCUGGCUGCCCAGUCUGGAAAGUGAGGAGCAUCUCCGCCCGGCCGCCAUCCCAUCUAGGAAGUGAGGAGCACCUCUUUCCGGCCGCCAUCACAUCUAGGAAGUGAGGAGCGUCUCUGCCCAGCCGCCCAUCGUCUGAGAUGUGGGGAGCGCCUCUGCCCCGCCGCCCCAUCUGGGAUGUGAGGAGCGCCUCUGCCUGGCCACGACCCCGUCUGGGAGGUGAGGAGCGUCUCUGCCCGGCCGCCCCGUCUGAGAAGUGAGGAGCCUCUCCGCCCGGCAGCCACCCCAUCUGGGAAGUGAGGAGCGUCUCCG
rnacentral:lncRNA from 1 species